rnacentral:RNase_P_RNA from 1 species
GUAUUCGAGCAAUCGAGCCGAAAGGUUAGGAAAGUCCUUGCUAGCACAGCUGUGAUGCUGUAGUGUUUAUGCCUAGUGAUAAACUAGGGCACCAAGGGAUUGGUGACGGCGAGAAGUGACCUCAAAUGGUUAACCUCAUAAAGUGCCACAGAGACGAGCCAUCUGGAAACGGGUGGGUGGAACGGGUAAACCCCAUAAGCUAGAAACCCAAAUUUGGUAGGGGAGUCUGGAUACUAAUUAAGAAUGGAUUCCAGAAAAGAAGUAAUUCUUUAGAUAAAUGAUUGCAUAAAACAGAACGAGGCUUAUUGAA